UUGACAAAGGCAAAUCCAUCGAAAGGUGGAGACGCAAAACUACAGGGGUUAAGGCGACACAAGGUCGCUAUGCCAGCCAGUUACCGA
rnacentral:ncRNA from 1 species